CCUACGGGUGACAGCAGUGAGGAAUAUUGGUCAAUGGGCGCGAGCCUGAACCAGCCAAGUCGCGUGAAGGAUGACGGCCCUACGGGUUGUAAACUUCUUUUGUAAGGGAGUAAACUGAGGCACGCGUGCCUUUUUGUAUGUACCUUAUGAAUAAGGAUCGGCUAACUCCGUGCCAGCAGCCGCGGUAAUACGGAGGAUUCGAGCGUUAUCCGGAUUUAUUGGGUUUAAAGGGAGCGUAGACGGGCGGUUAAGUCAGUUGUGAAAGCUUGCGGCUCAACCGCGGAAUUGCAUUUGAUACUGGUAGCCUUGAGUGCAGUUGAGGUAGGCGGAAUGCGUGGUGUAGCGGUGAAAUGCUUAGAUAUCACGAAGAACUCCGAUUGCGAAGGCAGCUUACCAAGCUGCCACUGACGUUGAGGCACGAAAGCGUGGGUAUCAAACAGGAUUAGAUACCCGUGUAGUC
rnacentral:rRNA from 1 species